rnacentral:rRNA from 1 species
CCCGUCACCAAUUUUGUGUGAUCUCAGAUUCUUAGCAGGCUUGGUGUGUCCUUGGCUGGAAGACCAUCUGGGAAUACCAGGUGCUGAAGGCU